AGAGUAAGAGCUGGGUAAGACGGGUGCCAGCCGCCGCGGUAAUACCUGCAGCUCAAGUGGUGGCCGCUAUUAUUGGGCCUAAAACGUCCGUAGCCGGUUUAGUAAAUGCUUGGGUAAAUUGUGUAGCUUAACUAUACGAAUACCGGGUAGACUGCUAAACUUGGGACCGGGAGAGGCUAGAGGUACUCCUAGGGUAGAGGUGAAAUUCUGUAAUCCUAGGGGGACCACCAGUGGCGAAGGCGUCUAGCUAGAACGGACCUGACGGUGAGGGACGAAGGCUAGGGGAGCGAACCGGAUUAGAUACCCGGGUAGUCCUAGCUGUAAAGUAUGCUGGCCAGGUGUAGGGCGCUCCACGAGGGCGCCCGGUGCCGUAGGGAAGCCGUUAAGCCAGCCGCCUGGGAAGUACGGCCGCAAGGCUGAAACUUAAAGAAAUUGGCGGGGGAGCACCACAAGGGGUGGAGCCUGCGGUUUAAUUGGAUUCAACGCCGGACAACUCACCGGGGGCGACGGCAGUUUGAAGGCCAGGUCGACGACCUUGCCGGACGAGCCGAGAGGUGGUGCAUGGCCGCCGUCAGCUCGUACUGUGAAGCGUCCUGUUAAGUCAGGCAAAGAGCGAGACCCUCAUCCCUAGUUGCCAUCAGUUAAAUGCUGAGCACUCUAUGGAGACCGCUGUCGCUAAGGCAGAGGAAGGAGAGGGCGACGGUAGGUCCGUAUGCCCCGAAUCCCCCGGGCUACACGCGGGCUACAAUGCGCAGGACAAAGAGAUGCGACUCCGUAAGGAGGAGCCAAACUCAUAAACCUGCGCCUAGUUCGGAUCGAGGGCUGAAACUCGCCCUCGUGAAGCUGGAAUCCCUAGUAAUCGCGUGCCACUAUCGCGCGGUGGAUACGUCCCUGCUCCUUGCACACACCGCCCGUCAAACCAUUCGAGUGGGGUUUGGAUGAGGCCCGUCUCAGUUGGACAGGUCGAAUCCGUUUCUGCAAGAAGGGUU
rnacentral:rRNA from 1 species